rnacentral:rRNA from 1 species
GGCUAACGCUGGCGGCGUGUCUUAGCCAUGCAAGUCGAGCGGACUUAUGGGGUAACUUAUAAGUCAGCGGCGGACGGCGGAGUAACACGUAGCUAACCUACCCUCUGGACGGGGAUAACCUACCGAAAGGUGGGCUAAUACCCGAUGUAGUCAUCCUGUAUAGGGGUGAUGAAAGGUGGGCUUCUGUUUACAAGCUCAAUGCUGGAGGAGGGGGCUGCGGCCUAUCAGGUAGUUGGUAGGGUAAUAGCCUACCAAGCCGAUGACGGGUAGCCGGCCUGAGAGGGUGACCGGCCCGAGGGGCACUGAGAUACGGGUCCCACUCCUACGGGAGGCAGCAGGCUAGAAAUUUGGGCAAUGGGGGAAACCCUGACCCAGUGACGCCGCGUGCAGGAAGGAGCCCUUCGGGGUGUAAACUGCUGUCGUGUAGGGAGAAGGGUACUAAGGUGAACAAUCUUAGUACUUGACGGUACUACAGGAGGAAGCCCAGGCUAACCUCGUG